AUGUACACAUAUGGGUUCGAUCUCCUCGACUUCACACCAAAUGCCAUGACCUUUAUGUCUGUCUUCGCGCAUAUGUGUGAGAACUUCGUCGGAGUCAUGCCCAAAGUUGCUCUCUUCCGCCAUUACUUUGUUCCCCAGAUCAAAGCAGACGUCCCUUCCGGCGACAUCACCUGGAUACCCAAGGCCAGUGCCAAGGAGUCUUACCUCGACGGGCAACUGCAUCUGAAAUGGGACGAAUGGCGAGCGGAAUGGUGCUGGAUAAAAGACUCUGAGUUCUCAAAUUUCUGCAGGCCGAGGAUGAAGAAGGUGGAGCACGGUGUGGAUUGGGGCUCUCUUGACAUAAACGACUCGCAUCCUUCGCCUCAGGGCUGCUGGCCUCACCAUUGA
rnacentral:rRNA from 1 species